rnacentral:rRNA from 1 species
AUGAACUACCUCUUCGCACCGCUUGACUUCGUGAAGUAGAAGGUGAAGGGCAUGGUCGCCACGCGUGAACGCGCCGCGGGAACCGCGCUAGUCGGCGGCGGCGCUGUGGGCGCCUACUUCCUCUGGCCCACGGGCGCCAUGAUGAAAGCGCCUGGAGCUGCCGGCUUCGUCAUCUCCUGCGUAGCGUUCGUGGCCAACCCGCAACUCUACUUCAGCAUCCUCUGUACGGCCGGGGUAGCGGCGGCGGCCGCCGCCUUCGCUGUGUAG